GGGAGAAGCGGACUGAACACAGCCUAAAUCCGUCUGUGGCUGCAGGGCUCCUGGAGCAGAGCCUGCCGCCAGCUCCCUGCGGCCACCUCAACAUUCCCUCUGCAACCGGCCCCCAACUGUGUGCACCCCACCUGCCCUGGGAGGGGGCCAGGACUGGCAGUAGACCCCCCUCAAAGGGUCAUUCUGUGGCUGCCAGGGGCCCACCAGGAGGGAUAUACGCAUGUGUCUGUACUUCCACGUAAUCUGCGUCAAGUUGGGGGCUGGCUGCUCUCCGGGGCUGACCAUGCCUGGGGACCCCAGGGAUCCCCUAAUGAGGAGCGUGAAAGAAUGGAACCCCCAGCCAGCUACCCACUUCUUCCUGUCUGGUCUCUGCUCUGACCAGGAUGGCCUGUCUCUCUCAGCUAUGACUACAUUGGAUGUCUCCAGGGUCUCAGGUGCUACCUCCCAGCAAGUGAAGAGGAAAUGGAGACCUGGCGACCUCAAGGAUUUGCUUCAGAGUUCCAGAGCCAGUGAGGGCCAGAGCUGGGAGAGAUCACAUCUGCCCCGUGCAAGCCCCAGGCCCUUCCCUCUGCUCCUGCCUGAAGUGACCCAAGUCUGAGGCAACCAUUCAUGAUCUCCUAGAUCCGUGACCUUGAGGAGCUGUGGCCACACACUACAGGAGACCGAUGGCCUAGCUUGUCCCAAAUCUCCCCUCCAGCUGAACUACCUACUCCUAGGCCUGCCAAGUCCCCAAAUUCCCUUAGCCAACCAGGUCUGGGGUGGGGACUUGUGGCCUCCAGGCCUAGGUUCAACUCCUAAUCCCUGUUUCAUGAUGUGUGACUUUGGGCAAAUGACUUGAUGUCCGAGUCCCAAUUUUCUCAUUUGCAAAAUGGGCACCACACUGCCUAUUUGUAAAUUAAAGGAAAAUGGCAGCUGGUGUUAGUAGAAGAGCAUGGGUGGGGCUCCCCAGAAGGCCUCUGGGAAAAUGCUCUGUAUAUGAUGGUUCUUGGUUACCACCAGGCCCCCAAAUGUCCCCUCCUGCUAUUGGUUCUUGUUUCCUCAGUGAGGAGGUGCAGGCCUGGCUUCUGGUGAACUCCAGACAGCCACCAUUCAGGUCAACCUGUUCAGGUCAACAGGGCCUUCUGCACGGUGCCCAGUGUGUGGCCUUCGCACAACCCUGAGAGGUAGGUCCUCCUUUAUCCCCAUUUUACAGAUUAGAAAACUGAGGCACAGCAAGGUAGCUGUGGGCAUGUCUCCGGGGCCACACAGGUCAGAAAGCAGCCCCGGGAGAGCCCACUCCAGCCUCCCACCUGGGCAGGGCAGGUGUGUGGUGAUGGCUGCCUCUGCCUCCCUUUUGGGAGGCCAGAGGCCAAAGUCAAGGGUUUGAGUUCACACAGCUGCUGCAAAUGGAGCCUGUGAGGCCAAGAAGAGAGCUGAGCACUUUCCCUCCUGGGAGGACAGACAGUCUGGGGAUCAGGAGCAUCUGGGAGGACUGCCUGGGGGAGGCUGCCUCUUCCAGUCUCAUCCUGCCACCCCUGCAGGCUAAUGCCACCCUGACACAUCUCACACCUCCUGACACCGCCCAUUCCCAUCCAGCCACCCUGCCUCCUCUGCUCUCCUGCUACCGACCCACCCCCUGCAGCUUUAGCGGGCUCUAAAUCCCCUUAAACCCUUUUUUUGGCCGCCCUGUGUCAUCUACCAGCGUAAGUCCCAAAUGCCUCAUGACUGUCUCAGACCUGUCCCUCUCCCCUCUGCCCCACACCAGCCUCCACUGCUCCCCAAGCACACUCUUGUGUUUCCACACCUCUGGGUCUUGGCACGCCGCUGCCAGGAAUCCCUUCCUUCCCCCCACUUCUGCCCAGCAAACUCCUACUCAUCCAUCAAGAGCCUGCUCCAGCAGCUACUCUUUCAUGAUGACCCCACCAAUGCCCUGCCCCCCAAGCAGAAUUUGUCUUAAUUAAAUUUUUUUUUUAAAUUAGUAAUGGGAAUUAACCCAGAGGCACUAAACUGCUGAGCCACGUCCCCAGUCCUUUUUAUUUAUUUUUUUUUAUUUUGAGACAGGGCCUCGCUAAGUUGCUGAGGUUGACCUUGAACUUGCAAUCCUCCUGCCUCAGACUUCUGAGUUGCUGGGAUUACAGGCAUGCACCAUGGUACCUGGCUCUGUGUGUCUGUCCCUCUGGGUAAGGGAUUCCUAGUGGACAGGAAAUAGUCUCACUUGCCUGUGGUACCCCCAGAAGUGGGCACAGAGUCUCAAUUAUUUUUAUUGGUUGAACUCAUGAGUAUAGGUUUGUUGAAUGAAAAACCAGCCCCCCUAGUAGUUUUGAACUGUGUUUGCAUCUCUGUAGCUUUGGAAAUGUUUUUUGGAGUCACUGAGGAGCCCUGGCCUAGGAUUUGCUAUUUUCUGAGCCUGUUUAUGAGCUUUGGGAAGAGCAGAAAGUAACCCCAACUUCAAUCAAAUACUCGUGUUCAGAGAUGUCUUAACUGGAAUUAGGAUGUUGGAGUCCAGGGUUGGAUUCCUGGCAAGAUGAGCACUCAGGGAGGAGUCCCUGUCCCUAAAUGCUCCCUCUCAGUUACCUAUGGCCUGACAUUCCACCAUUAGUGAUUCAUUUCUUUGGAUCAUUCAGUCAACAAAUCUUUAUUCAGCUCUCCCUGGAGGGGAGGCACUGUGCUGGACCCUUGAGUUGACAUUUAAGUGUGUAUGUGCUACUUCUCCUUCUGGAAGGAAGGAAGAAACAGAAGGGGUGGGAUAUGAGUAAGACUGGAGGACUGGGCACUACUGGGAUCAUUAGGGAUCAAAUAGCCACCUCAGUCUCUGUCCUGUCUGAAUAGCACAGAGGCCACGUGGUGUCUUCUGAGCAUGCUCACACACCCCCACACCCCCAACAGCCCCGCUAUGUGGAGUGUCACUACCAUCUUACCCAUGAAGAAACUGAGUUUGGAGAGGGGAGGCGAUGAGCCCAGGAUGACAGAGCUGGAACCAGCAUCAGAACUCAGCCCUGCCUGGGCUGCUCAGGUGCAGGGGGCACUGGCUCACCCCUUACUGGUGUCCAGAUGGCCAGGGCUCUCAGAGCCACCACAGCUCUUCCUUGCCACUCAAGCCCCACCCUCUGGGACCCAGGGUGGCCCAUGUGCCUCUUUGUCCUCCACUGUACAGGCAGCAGGGGUGCAGGGGUAGGUGCAGAGAGCACGGGAGCUGGGGCUGAUGGCCUUCCACAGAGCCCUGCUCCAGCUGAUGGGCUGUGUGACUUUGGACAAGCUCCUCAACCUCUGGGGCCUCAGGCUCCUCAUCUGUAAAAUGGGCAGGAUGCUGUGUGCCGCCUGCCUCUCCGUCUGCUCAUUUGUUCAACAAAUACCCAUCGAGCACCUUGUGCCCAGCUUCUGUGCUGUGUGCUAAGAAGACGGUGCAGAAAGAAAAGCUCCUCCUGGGCUGGGGAUGUGGCUCAAGCGGUAGCGCGCUCUCCUGGCAUGCGUGCGGCCCGGGUUCGAUCCUCAGCACCACAUACAAACAAAGAUGUUGUGUCCGCCGAGAACUAAAAAAUAAAUAUUAAAAAAAUUC